ACUAACCCACCUUUGACAUUUUGAACAACAACGUCGACCAAAUUAUUUUUGAGAAAAAUGGAUGGUGUUUUGAUACUCAUAGAGAGAAACUUACUAAUAUUAACGAUACAAAUUUAGUUUGAUCGUUUGCGAUUAUGGAUGGGAAUACUGGAUUUUCUGUUUUUCUUCUUCUACUCAUUAAGUUAAUUUGUCAGGUCAAGUGAAAUCAAAUGAAAAAGUCAAAAGGAUAUAAUCUAUACUAAUAAAAGGGACCUUUUGAGGCUCCAUAGAGCGUCCACAUCAGCAAAAAAAACUUCUCCCGAAAGAUGACAUGUGGCAUAAAAUAUAGUUUUACAUUUUAAUAUUACUAAUUUUCGAAAAUUAUAAAUAAUAUGUAAACAUACAGCAUAAAAAUGGAAAAACUACAUUAAAGAUAUGUAAGAUUACCAUUUUUCACAUAAAGAAAAAAGACGGUUUAUCUCCAUAAUGUAACAUUACCGUUUUCUAAAAAAGAUACUAAUAAAAUUGACCUUUAAAAGCUCCAUAGAGCGUCCACAUCAGCAAAAAAGCUUUUCCCGAAAGAUGGCACGUGGCAUAAAAUAUAGUUUUACAUUUUAAUAUUACUAAUUUUCAAAAAUUAUAAAUAAUAUGUAAACAUACAGCAUAAAAAAAUGGAAAAACUACAUUAAAAAUAUGUAAGAUUACCAUUUUUCACUUAAAAAAAAGACGGCUUAUCUUCAUAAUGUAACAUUACCGUUUUAUAAAAAAAAAACAAAAACAUUAUAUAUAAUUUUGAAAAUAAUAAAUAUAUGUAAAAAUACAACAUAAAAAAUGGAAAUACUACAUUAAACAUAUGUAAGAUUACCAUUUUACAUUUUUAUUUAAAAAUAAUAAUAUGUAAACAUACAACAUAAAAAUGGAAAAACUACAUUAAACAUAUGUAAGAUUACCAUUUUUCACUAAAAAAAAAAGACGGUUUAUC
rnacentral:lncRNA from 1 species